UUCCGGUUGAUCCUGCCGGACCUGACUGCUAUCGGAUUGAUACUAAGCCAUGCGAGUCAUUGUAGCAAUACAAGGCAUACGGCUCAGUAACGCGUAGUCAACCUAACCUAUGGACGGGAAUAACCUCGGGAAACUGAGAAUAAUGCCCGAUAGAACACUAUACCUGGAAUGGUUUGUGUUCCAAAUGAUUUAUCGCCAUAGGAUGGGACUGCGGCCUAUCAGUUUGUUGGUGAGGUAAUGGCCCACCAAGACUAUUACAGGUACGGGCUCUGAGAGGAGUAGCCCGGAGAUGGGUACUGAGACACGGACCCAGGCCCUAUGGGGCGCAGCAGGCGAGAAGACUUUGCAAUGUGCGAAAGCACGACAAGGUUAAUCCGAGUGAUUUGUGCUAAACGAAUCUUUUGUUAGUCCUAGAAACACUAACGAAUAAGGGGUGGGCAAGUUCUGGUGUCAGCCGCCGCGGUAAAACCAGCACCUCAAGUGGUCAGGAUGAUUAUUGGGCCUAAAGCAUCCGUAGCCGGCUCUGUAAGUUUUCGGUUAAAUCUGUACGCUUAACGUACAGGCUGCCGGGAAUACUGCAGAGCUAGGGAGUGGGAGAGGUAGACGGUACUCGGUAGGAAGUGGUAAAAUGCUUUGAUCUAUCGAUGACCACCUGUGGCGAAGGCGGUCUACCAGAACACGUCCGACGGUGAGGGAUGAAAGCUGGGGGAGCAAACCGGAUUAGAUACCCGGGUAGUCCCAGCUGUAAACUAUGCAAACUCAGUGAUGCAUUGGCUUGUGGCCAAUGCAGUGCUGCAGGGAAGCCGUUAAGUUUGCCGCCUGGGAAGUACGUACGCAAGUAUGAAACUUAAAGGAAUUGGCGGGGGAGCACCACAAGGGGUGGAGCCUGCGGUUCAAUUGGAUUCAACGCCGGG
rnacentral:rRNA from 1 species